rnacentral:lncRNA from 1 species
AUAUUCAAUACCUUCAGACUUCAAGAUAUGUAGUCACAGAUGACAUGGUGAGAAAGAGUUAGUUCUUUUUACCUGUCCAUGGAUUGGAAGAGUCACACUCCUCUGUGAUGCCAGGAAUGAUGCCAAGUCACAGGUAGAACAAUCCACAUCCUUGAACCUCAACAGCCAUCAAUGUCCACAUAUUACAGUCCUGUUGCCUCUGGCAUACCAAGAAGAUAGCAUUGGAUUGUCAACUGUUAUCUAUUUUUUAGUAAAAUGGUCAAUUAUGGACAGAUGACAGCUCUUACAAUAAGGACUGGUCCUUGUUGAUGAUUGGUUGUUAUGGGAUCUACAGAAUGCUUCAUAGGUUCCAGUUCUGCUGAGGAGAAUGCCAAUGUGUUUGUCAGGAUAUUCCAAACCUAUAUUCAGAGAGUGAAUGAGGUCAAUAAAGUUCACUGAUGUAUUAGUUAUCCAAGAUCCUUCAAUUUGAUACCAAGUGUGGAAUGGAAUCCAGUUAUGUCUACUUCUUAAAACUAUUUUUUCAGUGACCUAGUUAAGACCUCAAGUCAAUGUCCUUCCUAUGAAAUCACCUAUGAGGAUCCUGGACAGAAGCUUCCUUGGUGGGAACUUGGCACACUAUCCAUUUUCAGGCUUCAUGGAGAUGUCAUGAACUGAAGAGCAGGCCUUAGCAAACUCUAUUUCAACAAUCAUGUGUUUCUCCUGAACAAGAUCCUCGAGAGCAGUACUAUUAGCUGGCAAUGUUUAAAAAUCUUUAUUUUCAAGGAAGAUGCGGAAGAGACCUUGCAUUAACAAUAUCUGUUAAGCUCAGUGCUGUCCUCCAAGGACUAAAUCAUCUUUGUCUAAUGAUGACCCAGGCAGCCUGACAACUUCCCACUGGUGAUUGACUUUUUAUUAAAUAAAUGUAUAGCAUGCCUCCCAAUCUGUAUCAAGAUUGGAGACAGUUCUGGGUGGAUAAGAUUCAUCAAGGUCAAAAGAAUUCACGUGUAGCACACUGUAACCACAAGCUUUUCCACCCUGCCUCUUUGAUCCUAUGAAUAAUGACUGAGACUUCAUAUGAAUAAAUGCCUAAGCC